GUUUUCAGAGAGGUUGAAGAAGAUGAACUUAUAUGGAAAAUAGAGAUUUUCGUGAAAAGAAAGAGAGAAAUGACAAGUGAGAUUUUAUAGUGUUAAACCUACGAAGCUGACUCGUUACGCUUUACUAGGGUAGUGGGCCACGUGGUGGUUUUUUCUGAGAAAAGGGUACAGAGAAUACUAUUCAUUUUCUUGGAAGUUGAAGCUCAUGAUGACAUAUAACUGCGCACACG
rnacentral:lncRNA from 1 species